rnacentral:rRNA from 1 species
CCCUUAGAUGUUCUGGGCCGCACGCGCGCUACACUGAUGCAUUCAACGAGCCUAUCCUUGACCGACAGGUCCGGGUAAUCUUUGAAUCUGCAUCGUGACGGGGAUAGAUUAUUGCAAUUAUUAAUCUUCAACGAGGAAUGCCUAGUAGGCGCAAGUCAUCAGCUUGCGUCGAUUACGUCCCUGCCCUUUGUACACACCGCCCGUCGCUCCUACCGAUUGGGUGUGCUGGUGAGGAGUUUGGAUUGGCCUCGGAAGGUGGUUCGCCACCGUCCGUAGCUGAGAAGUUCUCCAAACCGCCCCACUUAGAGGAAGGAGAAGUCGUAACA